CCGGGGCUAAUACCGGAUGCUUGAUUGAGCCGCAUGGUUCAAUUAUAAAAGGUGGCUUUCAGCUACCACUUACAGAUGGACCCGCGGCGCAUUAGCUAGUUGGUGAGGUAACGGCUCACCAAGGCGACGAUGCGUAGCCGACCUGAGAGGGUGAUCGGCCACACUGGGACUGAGACACGGCCCAGACUCCUACGGGAGGCAGCAGUAGGGAAUCUUCCGCAAUGGACGAAAGUCUGACGGAGCAACGCCGCGUGAGUGAUGAAGGUUUUCGGAUCGUAAAACUCUGUUGUUAGGGAAGAACAAGUACCGUUCGAAUAGGGCGGCACCUUGACGGUACCUAACCAGAAAGCCACGGCUAACUACGUGCCAGCAGCCGCGGUAAUACGUAGGUGGCAAGCGUUGUCCGGAAUUAUUGGGCGUAAAGCGCGCGCAGGCGGUUUCUUAAGUCUGAUGUGAAAGCCCCCGGCUCAACCGGGGAGGGUCAUUGGAAACUGGGGAACUUGAGUGCAGAAGAGGAGAGUGGAAUUCCACGUGUAGCGG
rnacentral:rRNA from 1 species